AUGGGUGAUGGCGUGCCUUUUGUAGAAUGAACCGGCGAGUUACGAUUUGAUGCAAGGUUAAGCAGUAAAUGUGGAGCCGUAGCGAAAGCGAGUCUGAAUAGGGCGUUUAGUAUUUGGUCGUAGACCCGAAACCAGGUGAUCUACCCUUGGUCAGGUUGAAGUUCAGGUAACACUGAAUGGAGGACCGAACCGACUUACGUUGAAAAGUGAGCGGAUGAACUGAGGGUAGCGGAGAAAUUCCAAUCGAACCUGGAGAUAGCUGGUUCUCUCCGAAAUAGCUUUAGGGCUAGCCUCAAGUGAUGAUUAUUGGAGGUAGAGCACUGUUUGGACGAGGGGCCCCUCUCGGGUUACCGAAUUCAGACAAACUCCGAAUGCCAAUUAAUUUAACUUGGGAGUCAGAACAUGGGUGAUAAGGUCCGUGUUCGAAAGGGAAACAGCCCAGACCACCAGCUAAGGUCCCAAAAUAUAUGUUAAGUGGAAAAGGAUGUGGCGUUGCCCAGACAACUAGGAUGUUGGCUUAGAAGCAGCCAUCAUUUAAAGAGUGCGUAAUAGCUCACUAGUCGAGUGACACUGCGCCGAAAAUGUACCGGGGCUAAACAUAUUACCGAAGCUGUGGAUUGUCCUUUGGACAAUGGUAGGAGAGCGUUCUAAGGGCGUUGAAGCAUGAUCGUAAGGACAUGUGGAGCGCUUAGAAGUGAGAAUGCCGGUGUGAGUAGCGAAAGACGGGUGAGAAUCCCGUCCACCGAUUGACUAAGGUUUCCAGAGGAAGGCUCGUCCGCUCUGGGUUAGUCGGGUCCUAAGCUGAGGCCGACAGGCGUAGGCGAUGGAUAACAGGUUGAUAUUCCUGUACCACCUAUA
rnacentral:rRNA from 1 species